rnacentral:lncRNA from 1 species
UCGAUUUGUCCGGGCCCAUACAGAUACAAAAACAAAACAAAAAAUAAAUAAAUAAAAUGAACUAAACCAAAAUAAAAAUAAGAUCAGUCCAUAUUACAAAACAGCCCAAAGUAAAAUUAUGACCCAAAUUACAAGGGUUCAAUAGCCCAACAACUAACAUAACCCGAGACCCAAUUACAUUGGCCCAAAUGGCCCAAAGCUCAAACCAUUCUUAGGAAACCCUAGGGUUUCCAAUCUCAUGCCGCAGCCCCCAGCCCCUGUGCAACCACAGCCACGACCGCCUCGUCACGUACCUUCUCCGUACCUACAUAAAUGGACAGCAACAACAAUAGAAAAGAACAAAAAACAACAGAGCAAAAAUAUUGUAUUUUUAUUAUUUUUCUUAUUCGGCUAUAAAGCCAUUUUUCAUUUUGAUUGUAACUUCUUCUAUACACACGAAUAUCAAUCAAAGAACCAAAUAGAAAUUUCAGUAGGUGAUUUCUCUAAAUUUUCUUGCUUUUAAUCUUGGGUUCUUUUUUUAUUUUCAUUCUUUUUACAUACAAAAAACAUAAAGAGAAAAAGAACUGACCUAAAUCGGUCGAUUUACUCACCGUUUGAGGCCACGCCAGAAAAGGAGAGGAAAUGAGACGUUUCUUUGUUGCUCUGCCGGAUUUGGCCCUUUUUUUCGAGGUUUUGGCCUCGGACCCUUGCUCCACACGUGAAAGGGUUGAAAAGGGAUUAAUUUUUGGAACUUCGGCCGCCGUGUACGGUGGCGAAUGAGCGAUGGCCUGGUAACCGAAGUUUAGUCGAAAGGGGAGAGGCUAAGAGAGAACUUUAAGUUUUUUUUUGAAACUCAAGCAGAAAUGGUUUUUUUUUAAAAAAAAUUUGGUUUAUAUAAGAGUUACAAAACGGCGCCGUUCAGGGCCGAAUUUUAGACGUCUAAACGACGUCGUUUUAGCCCCCAGGAUCCGCACGUCGACCCGACUCGCCAGGGGAUCAGUGCAUUUUCAACGUUUGGGUUAUUUAUGCGACGAGUCCCUCCGUUUUUCACCUUUGUUUAAUUUAAUCCUAUUCUUUUAUUUUACUUUUUUAAUUUUUCUCCAUGACUUAUGCCUUUGAUUCAUUUGGGUCCGCAUCAAAACGAUGCAUUUUGAAGGGCUUGGGAUAUUUCCCAGUCAGUCCCUCUCUUUUUUGCGCGCGUGUAUUCGAAUCCUUAUUUGCUUUUCAUCAAUUUUCGCAUUUUAUAAUUUGUACCCCAUAUUUAAUUUUGAUUGCAAUUUAAUCCUUAACCUUUUAUAAUUUCAAUUUCUUCACUCUUUUUUAUGUUUAAAAAAAAGAAACUGCUUAUUUAAUAUUUCAUUUAUUCAUUUAUUUAUUUCUACAUUUAUUUAUCUGCUUUUUACUUAUAUAUAUUAUUUAUUAUUACUAUUAUUUUUUUCAUAUUAUUAUUUAUAUUGUUUUUGUUAUUAUUAUUAUUAUUCCUGAUUUUAUUAGUAUUAUUAUUCUUCAUUUUUUUUAUUUAUUAUUUUCUAUUAUUAUUUUUAUUUUUUACUAUUAUUAUUUAUUAUCAAUAUUAUUAUCAUCAUUGCUAUUUUUUUUAUUACUAUCAUUAUUAUUAUUACUAUUAUCCUUAUUAACAUAUUAUUAUUAUUAUUUUCUACUUUAUUAUUAUAGUAUUAUUACUAUUAUUGUCAUCAUAUUAUUAAACUAAUUAAUUUUAUAUUGUUAUUAUGACAUUAAAUAUUUUCUUUUCGUAUUUUUAUUAUUAUUAUUAUUAUCAUUAUCAUUAUUAUUAUUUAUUACAUUUUUAUUAUUAUUACCCUUUUAUUUUAUUUUAUAUUUUUCUCUUAUUUAUUUGCUUAUUUUCAAACUUUUCUCUUAUCUUAUUAUUUAAAAUUUUUAUUAAUUUUCAUUUAUUCACUUAUUGUCUCUUAUUAGCCUUUUAUACACUUAUCUAUUUUAUUGAUUAUUCUUUUCGCUCUUGCUAUUGUUGUUUAUAUCAUCGCGUUUAUUACCCUAUUAUGCAUAUGUAUACUACGAAUUUGUGUUACAUUAACCCUUACCUAAAUGCGUAAAAAAGGAAUUUUCAAAAAUAAGGGAAUGUUUCAAAUUUUGGAAAUAUGAGAAAAUCAUACCCUAACUUACGGGGUUUCAAUUUUUCUCAUUAAACCUAAAUAGCCAAAUAUCCUUUCAAAUUUCAAAAUAUAUGAAUUUUAAAUAAAAAUAAAGGCAAUAUUUCAUGUUUGGGAAUUCGAGAUAUCAUGCCCUAAUGUAUUGGGUUUCGAUUUUUCUUGUUUGACCCAAAUGAUCGAAUAUCAUUUUAAAUUAAAACGCAUGAAUUUUGAAAAUCAAAAGACAAGCUUAUUCUCGAGAGUUUAAAAUGUCGUGUCCUAACGUACUAGAUGUGACAUUUUAUUACUUCGGGACAAGAAGGUCUUUAACAUCCCUUUCGAUUUAUCCAAGCAUUUUUGUUUAACUAACAUUAAUAAAAAGAGAGUAUCGUAUUUUAAAUUCUUUUCGAGUUUUCAACUUUCGACGUUUAGACAUUGAUUAAUCAAUUAGGUACCAAUUUUGGGCGUUACGAGGGUGCUAAUCCUUCCUCGUACGUAAGCGACUCCCGAACUUGUUUUCUCAAAUUUUGUAGACCAAAAUUGUUAUUUUAGUAAAUCAAAAUGUUUUAUUAAAACGAUCGAUCAUGAGGUGACCUGAUCACACCUCAUCAAAAAAGAUUGGUGGUGACUCCCUUUUCAUUUUCAAAAUAAAAUGUCGACCUCGUUUUUCAAACACAAAACAAAGAGGUUUCGACAGCUUGGCGACUCUGCUGGGGAAUACUAAUAAGAGAGUCAAGCCAUAAUUUGAUUAAUUUUUGUCUUUUCAUCGAAAAUUGAAAAUUCGGUUUAAAAUACGAUCCUUUCACUACAUUUCAUCCCUCAUUUUUGUGGUCUUGGUCAAAACAUUUGUUUUAUUGGUUCGAGUCUUUAGAUGUAUUCGCAUAUUGCAUUGCAUGAUCGUUCGAUCUACCCUUUUAAGUGGGAGUGAGAAACUAUUCCUUCGUGAGGUCUUCGCUUUCGUGUAGGAUAGUGGAUCGCUUUCGGGAUACAUCCGUACCUAUUUCUUCGUGAGAUUUUCAUCUCUAUAUAGCCAUAGGGAAAUGUAUUCCCCUGAACUGAACUCGGUCCGUAUAAGCUUAUAAUAGGUGAGGAUCGAGGAAUCUGCUAGUUCAGAUACCUUUUUCUUUAAAACCAAACCACAUAUAGUGAGCCUUAGGAGCCCACCCUAGGUAGAACCACCAACCCCUAGAGGUCAUCCGAAUAGGUGCUCUAUUUGUUGUUUAUUUCUUCUGUACUAACGUGUUUUGUUUUGUUUAUGAUUGCAUUGCAUUGCAUCGUCAUAGAAAAGAGGUGUUGAUUCAUGUUUAGUUGCUAAAUAGAGAGCUUGUCAUGAAAAAUAGAUUUCUUGAUAAAGUGGAAUAUAAUACGGUCGUCCGAAUAUGGUCCGAGUAAACACAACGAGAGAAGGCUGAUAGUCUGUAGCGGAAUAUAUGACUAUGUUUCACUGCCCGAGGAUUCAAGCUGACAAAGAUUAUUCGAGAGUCGUCAACAUUUUUAAAGAAGCUAACAAGCCUUACGGGGAUGCGUGAGCAAUGGAUCACAGCCUGGAUCAAAGCAAAAAAGAGCUAGUAGAGGCGUCCAUUGGGAAGUUCGUGAGAUUUGAUCUUAACAUCCGGAUAUGAAGGGAUCGAUGACUUCGCCUAGAGUAUGAGGGCAAGGCCGUAUAUAUUUCCGCUUUAUGUAAAGAGAUUUGUUAUUUAGAAAAUUUGUUCUAACAGAAUUGAAUCAGAAUCAACGUCUCUUUUUGCACUCAUUUCAUGCAUCUGCAUUGCAUUUCAUCAUAUGCAUUAAAUGUCACAAAUGAGCCUUAAUUAGUUAAAAACUAUUUCAGUUAAUCUGGAAACCGACAAAAACCUACCAAGCACUCAUCGUUACGGAACUUGAAGAAAAACUAAAGUGAUGGAUAAAAGACUAGAAAGGUUGGAACAAAUGCAGAAGGAGAUGCAAGAACAGAUGCAAGCACAAAUGCAAGAGCAAUUGGCUAAAAUCCAGCAGGAUAUGAGGGACCAAAUGCUGGAAUCACAAAGAAACAUGAUGAACCAGCUAACACAACUAUUGACCAGUGGGCCAGACAAAGGAAAGGGUCCUAUGGUCAAUAUUGGGGAUGAUAAUGAAGAUCCUCUCUACCCCCUUGGUUUCACCCCGACAAAUGCUUAAACGCAACCCGAGAUGUACACGCGAAGGCCAUCCGUUACAAUUAGGCCCCAACAAUUUCAGGCCGGUGCCUCGACGCCAAUCAACUAUCAAGCAGGCUCAGGCUUUAAUCCAGGGGACAACCCAAUUAAUUCUGUAGUCCCUGAUCUGGAUGAAAUGGUAGAAGCCGGAAGAGCGAGAGUGGAGCUCCCUAAACAAUUAGAAAACCGAUGCAGGUGGUUAAAGGAGAAGUUCAAAGCGAUGGAGAGUGUUAACUAUCACUAUGGGAUAGAUGCUAAAGAUUUGAGCUUGGUUCUAGACCUUGUACUUCCCCCCAAGCUCAAGACUCUUGAGUUCGAGAAGUAUAACAGGACUAGCUGCCCUGAAGCUCAUAUUACCAUGUUUUGUAGACGGAUGACUGGGCACGUCAACAAUGAUCAGCUAUUGAUCCACUACUUCCAAGACAGUCUGGUUGGGGCAGCAUCCAAAUGGUACAACCAAUUGAGCCGUACUAAGAUCAACUCAUGGAAAGACCUAGCUUAAGCUUUCAUGAAACAGUGUAGUCACGUCACGGAUAUGACCCCGGACAGGAUUAUCUUGCAGAACAUGGAAAAGAAACCGAAUGAGAGCUUUCGAUAAUACGCCUAAAGGUGGAGGGAGGUUGCAAUACAAGUCCAGCGACCUCUCCUAGAAAAAGGGACCACCAUGCUAUUCAUCAAUACUUUAAACGCUCCAUUCAUCACUCAUAAGUUAGGGAGCGCCACUAAAAGCUUCUCAAAUAUAGUGAUGACUGGCGAAAUGAUUGAGAACGCGAUAAGAAGAUGCAAAAUAGAGACAAGGGAUAGUACCAAGAGGUUAGCCCCAAGGAAAAGGGAGAAUGAGGUGAACAACCUGAGCACAUAUAGCAAAGGUCAUUCCAAGUCACUUACUGUAAACCAACUGAAGACGGUAACUGUUAACCACCAGAACACCCCAAGAUAAGAAGCCGAUACAAAGACAAAUACUGAAAGGAUACGGUUCACACCUAUACCUAUGAUGUAUAGGGAGCUAUAUCAAAACCUAUUCGAUGCGCAUGUGGUGUCCCCUUUUUACCUAGAACCAAUCAACCUCCUUUUCCCAAAUGGUACGACGCAAAUGCUCAGUGCGAGUACCAUACUUUUUAAAAAAAUAUUAAAUUAAUUUAUUUGAUAAGAAAAAAAAUUUUAUUCAAGAAGAAUUGUUACUUUUUUACGUUUGAAAAAAAGCGUUCGGAUUCUAAUAUUAUCGAUUACAACUACAGUGGCCCAAACCAAAAAACAAACGGAUUAGCAUGCCUAUCUCCCAUUGGGGGAGGUUGUACCACCGCAAGGGCCCCAAAAUUAGGUAAUAGAUGUCGAGAAAGACGAGCCAAUCCAUCAUGCAUGAUCACAUCAAAACCUCAAUCUCUUCUGUUUCGACAGCAAACCAAUGAGGCAGCGAGUACAAGUGACUCUAGAAGCAUUCCAAACAAAAAAACUCGAAUAGCAGAAGAAAAUGCCCCCAAAAGGAUUCUUGGGUCCCUUUAAUUUGGUGUAAUUUCUUAUAAGACCCUUGAAAUAUUAUAAAAUCCUAUUAAGAAAUAAGAAAAAUUUAUAUUCGCAACCUAAUUUUUUACUUAUCUUAAACUACAUUGUAAAGUGUGUAAUUGGAAGUUUGCUAUUAUAAUUUUGUAAACAAUUUUUGUAACACCUUCUACCCGUAUCCGUUGCCGGAAUAGGGUACGAGACAUUACCAGAGUUUACUGAGCAUUUUCAGAUAAUUCUGAAUAAUUUAUUAUUCAUAUUCUGAAAAUAAUCAUAAUGUCCCUCUAUUGGGCCCUUAAAGCCCAAAACAUAAAUUUAAACAAUCAAUUCACAUUCAUGUCACAUAAAUGUAUAAUUUAAACAUUCAAUAACUCAAUUCAAGUUGCACGAACUUACUUCAUUGCUUAUUCGUAUUUAUAGUUUUACUAAUCCGAAAACUUUUUCUUUUUUCACGUUCAAGUCUCAUAUUUGAGCCACCCAAAUCUUUAUAAAUAAAUUUGAUCAUCAUUUUUAUUUAUUUCAUAUUCUAAUACAUUCAAUUAAUCUCUAGGAAAAAUUACCAUUUUACCCCUAAACUUUUGAUUAAUGACGAUUUCAUCCUUAGACAAAGAAAAAUAAAGUUCUUGUAAUUAAAUCCUUGUUUCAAACCUAAUUAUUCUUAUAUAUAUUGAUAAAACCCCAUAAAUUCUAUAAAAUAACAAAAUUUUCCACAAUUUCAACACUUUUUAAUUUAAUCCCUAAAACAUGUUUUCACCCGAUCUUGAUCUAAAUUAAUAGUUUCAUUCAAUUUUAUAAUUUAAAUAAUAAAAUAAUUCAUUUCCUUCAUUUUGUCAUUUUUGACAUUUUUAAAAAAUUGCCCCUAUAGUUUUUCUUUUAUUCAAUUUAGUCCCUGAGUCUAAAACAUACAAAUUAUCCAUUUUAAAUGUAAACCUAUUAAGGGUGGCAACAAACAACAGUAUGUAUGUUACCCGGAUGAAAUAUGAAAUACUUCUCUAAAUUUUUCAUCCCAUUUGCUUCUGUUCGUUUGUUUACAACUCCUAAGUCUUUGAAUCUCAAACUUACUUCAUACUUCAUCCGGAAUUAUUACCUUGUUGCUCUAACUUCAACAAGAGCUUCAUAUUUCAUCCGGAAUAAUUUCUUUGUUGCUCUAGCUUUAACAAGAGCUUCAUAUUUUAUCCGGAUAACUUAGUUAUGUUUUUCUUCCUGUGUGAAAAACCCAACAAAACCUUUGCUAGCUGAAAAUUCAUAUAUUUAUUUUCCUCCUCCUCCUCUCCAUUCCACAUCCUAAAUGUAUAUAGCAUUCUUAUAAGUAACAUUAUCUAUGAUCUCACUAUUUACUUAUAAAUUUUUUUAAAGCUUUCCAUUCGUGUCAUAGUCACUAAAUUAUUUUUAAUUUGAGCUACAGAGAUCCAAAUUAAGAUCUGUGAAUUUUCCCUGAAACUUGACUCACAUAUCUUUCCACCAUAAAAUUUUCAUAAUUUUUGGUUUAGCCAAUUAGUACAGUUUAUUCAUUAAAUUUUCCCCUGUUUCACUAUCCGAUAGUUCUGACCUCUCUUCACUUAAAAUUAAUUAUCUCACAAUACAGAACUCGGAUAAUGUUCUAAUUGGUUUAUCUUGAAAAUAGACUCAUUAAGGAUUCUAAAAAUAUAAUUUUGAGCCCUAAUUAUUUUUCUCCAAAUUUUUGUGAUUUUCCAAAGUCAGAAUAGGGGAACCCGAAUUCAUUCUGACCUUAUCUCACAAAAUUUAUUAUAUCUCAUAACUUACAAUUCAAUUGCUUACACCGUUUCUUCUAUAAUAAACUAGACUCAAUAAUCUUUAAUUCAAUAUUUUUUUCAUCCUCUGAUUAAAUUUCUACAAUUUAUGGUGAUUUUUCAAAGUUAACCUACUGCUGCUGUCCAGAACUGUUUUAGUUCAAGAUGUUUAUUACCAUUUUUCCUCUAAAUUUCACUGGUCAUACAAUUCAGUCCUUGCUCAAUUAGCCUAUCACUUAAGCUAAUUUUUAUCAAUUAACAUUUUAUUCCAUCAUUAUAAACUAUUACACAACCUUUAAAAAUCAUAAUUUCAACACUAAACCUUAAUUCACAACUUUUUCACAAUUAGGUUCUAAAAUCAAUUUCUAUUGAAAUUACUUGAUAAAAUCAUCAAACAACAAAGUAAAAGCUUCAAAUCUAUUUUAGUUCAUCAUAAACAGCCAACACUUAUCAAUGGUAGCUUUCAAUUUUGUCCAUAAAAUCAAAAACUAAUGAAUUAAACACUUGGACCUAAUUGUAAAAGUCACAAAAACAUAAAAAUCUCAAAGAAAGGGCAAGAAUUGAACUCACAUAUGUUAAACUAUGAAAAACAGCAACUUUCAGACCUCCCAUGGCGUUUUUGC